UACGUAGGUGGCGGGCGUUGUCCGGAUUUACUGGGCGUAAAGAGCGCGCAGGCGGCUGGUCAAGUCCGAUGUGAAAGCUCCCGGCUUAACUGGGAAAUUGCAUCGGAAACUGAUCGGCUGGAAGGUGGGAGAGGGUAGCGGAAUUCCCGGUGUAGUGGUGAAAUGCGUAGAUAUCGGGAGGAACACCAGUGGCGAAAGCGGCUACCUGGCCCAUUCUUGACGCUGAGGCGCGAAAGCUAGGGGAGCAAACGGG
rnacentral:rRNA from 1 species